GCUUCUGGGAGGGGAGGGCUGCCUUCAGCGGAGCGGUCUUUUCGACGCCAAGUCGAAGUAAUCUGUGGAGCUGAGGGAACCCGGCCCUGGUGCGAGCCCUGAGUGAGGGGAGCUGAGCGGGGAGCCCGGCAGCACAGAUUGCUAUGUGCUGGUGCCUGAAGCCCUCAGCAGAACCCCGCAGAGGUGGGCUGGAGCCCUGCUCCCCAUAACGGCACUGCCAAGAGCAUCCCACCAUGCGUGCAGCCUUUAGGAGCAGCUGGGUGUGUUGAAAGACUAUCUUCAAGGUAUCUUGAAAACUAAUGAGUCUACAUUAUGUCAUCAGUCUGGUAGGAUUGGGUGGAGACAUGACAGCCUUGGAAUGGGAAGAUAGAAUGGAAAGCAGUCAUUCCUGCUGUAAAAGGCUUCCGAAAGGACCGGGCUGAAAAUGUUUGCAUGCCGUAAGAAGGCACGCAAGGCUUUCAAGCAAACCGGAUUCCGUUCUGCUCCGUUCCGUUCCGCGC